rnacentral:rRNA from 1 species
AUUGAACGCUGGCGGCAGGCUUAACACAUGCAAGUCGAGCGGAGUGAUGGUGCUUGCACUAUCACUUAGCGGCGGACGGGUGAGUAAUGCUUAGGAAUCUGCCAUUUAGUGGGGGACAACAUUACGAAAGGAAUGCUAAUACCGCAUACGUCCUACGGGAGAAAGCAGGGGAUCUUCGGACCUUGCGCUAAAUGAUGAGCCUAAGUCGGAUUAGCUAGUUGGUGGGGUAAAGGCCUAACAUGGCGACGAUCUAUAGCGGGUCUGAGAGGAUGGUCCGCCACACUGGGACUGAGACACGGCACAGACUCCUGAGGGAGGCAGCAGUGGGGAAUAUUGGACAAUGGGCGGAAGCCUGAUCCAGCCAUGCCGCGUGUGUGAAGAAGGCCUUUUGGUUGUAAAGCACUUUAAGCGAGGAGGAGUCUACUAGUACUAAUACUACUGGAUAGUGGACGUUACUCGCAGAAUAAGCACCGGCUAACUCUGUGCCAGCCGCCGCGGUAAGAC